UAGUGCAGCGCCUUCAACAUUAGCAGCUUGGUAACAGUCUUGUGAAACCAACAAAAGCAAAACAUGAAGAUCCAAGUGUGUUUGGCAAUGUCUGUCUUGCUGUUGUUUAUUGGUGUUGUUCAACAUUCGGUGGAGGCUUUCCACGGAGGUUACUCUCCGGGUAGAAGACAGAUUUCUUCCACAGAGUUUGAGGUGAAAGCCAGGAGUAUCUGUGAAGCGGCCAGAAAGUUGGAUUGUGCGGGAGUGAAAAUGGAGGGCUGACCCAGGAGGAAACCAUCUAUCAGAAAAAGCUUUUUAAGUAAUCAGCUAUGAUAAAAUAACCACUUAAGAACAUGAAAAAGCUUCUAAAUAAAGAAAGAUCAUUCAUGAAAAAACUGA
rnacentral:lncRNA from 1 species